GACGAACGCUGGCGGCGUGCUUAACACAUGCAAGUCGAACGGAAAGGCCCUGCUUUUGUGGGGCGCUCGAGUGGCGAACGGGUGAGUAACACGUGAGUAACCUGCCCUUGACUUUGGGAUAACUUCAGGAAACUGGGGCUAAUACCGGAUAGGAGCUCCUGCUGCAUGGUGGGGGUUGGAAAGUUUCGGCGGUUGGGGAUGGACUCGCGGCUUAUCAGCUUGUUGGUGGGGUAGUGGCUUACCAAGGCUUUGACGGGUAGCCGGCCUGAGAGGGUGACCGGCCACAUUGGGACUGAGAUACGGCCCAGACUCCUACGGGAGGCAGCAGUGGGGAAUAUUGCACAAUGGGCGGAAGCCUGAUGCAGCAACGCCGCGUGCGGGAUGACGGCCUUCGGGUUGUAAACCGCUUUCGCCUGUGACGAAGCGUGAGUGACGGUAAUGGGUAAAGAAGCACCGGCUAACUACGUGCCAGCGGCCGCGGUGAUACGUAGGGUGCGAGCGUUGUCCGGAUUUAUUGGGCGUAAAGGGCUCGUAGGUGGUUGAUCGCGUCGGAAGUGUAAUCUUGGGGCUUAACCCUGAGCGUGCUUUCGAUACGGGUUGACUUGAGGAAGGUAGGGGAGAAUGGAAUUCCUGGUGGAGCGGUGGAAUGCGCAGAUAUCAGGAGGAACACCAGUGGCGAAGGCGGUUCUCUGGGCCUUUCCUGACGCUGAGGAGCGAAAGCGUGGGGAGCGAACAGGCUUAGAUACCCUGGUAGUCCACGCUGUAAACGGUGGGUACUAGGUGUGGGGUCCAUUCCACGGGUUCCGUGCCGUAGCUAACGCUUUAAGUACCCCGCCUGGGGAGUACGGCCGCAAGGCUAAAACUCAAAGGAACUGACGGGGCCCCGCACAAGCGGCGGAGCAUGCGGAUUAAUUCGAUGCAACGCGUAGAACCUUACCUGGGUUUGACAUGGAUCGGGAGCGCCCAGAGAUGGGUGUGCCUCUUUUGGGGUCGGUUCACAGGUGGUGCAUGGCUGUCGUCAGCUCGUGUCGUGAGAUGUUGGGUUAAGUCCCGCAACGAGCGCAACCCUUGUUCACUGUUGCCAGCACGUUAUGGUGGGGACUCAGUGGAGACCGCCGGGGUCAACUCGGAGGAAGGUGGGGAUGACGUCAAGUCAUCAUGCCCCUUAUGUCCAGGGCUUCACGCAUGCUACAAUGGCUGGUACAGAGAGUGGCGAGCCUGUGAGGGUGAGCGAAUCUCGGAAAGCCGGUCUCAGUUCGGAUUGGGGUCUGCAACUCGACCUCAUGAAGUCGGAGUCGCUAGUAAUCGCAGAUCAGCAACGCUGCGGUGAAUACGUUCCCGGG
rnacentral:rRNA from 1 species